rnacentral:lncRNA from 1 species
CAGUAGAAAAAUGUCUUAUAACAACUUGGAGGCCAACAUUGAAAGCAUGGUUUGUACACAUUUUUGGAAGGACACAAAGUGAAUACAACCAAAUAUAUUAAAAUGGUUUCAAUUACCAGCAUUGAAACAAAAUUAGUGCAAAAAAAGCCAAAUACAAUUGCACAGAUAGUGGCUCUUAAGUCUUGAAAGAAAGCAAACGUGACUCUCGGUCCUUCCCAUUCAGGUGAAACUUUUAACAUUGCCCUCCAAGACCUGCCCUUAGGAAAGCUGAUAAACCUCUUGUCUCAAUCCAUUCCACAUCUCGUGUGAUACUGUCUCUAACAUAAUGUCAGCAGAGCUUCCUUUCAGUAUAAAUAUAUUACGCUUACAAAAAGAACAUGAACCCUAGCUAGCACUGGAAACUUUUCUACAAAGGAAAGACAAAGAGGAUGCUUUCAGAUUUCUUCAGCAACCUUUAAUUCUCGAAAAGAUGAAAUGUUCUCCCAUGUUUUAAGGACAACUUAUUUUGAACCUAGAAAUCAAAACUAAAUCCAACUGUCAACAAAAUUAUAAAGAAGGCGAUUUCAGACAUGUAAGAAAUAAGGACGUUUUACUAGUAAAAUGUCCUUCAGGAUAGAAUCCAUUCAAACAAAAAGGGAAUCUAAGAAAGAAGAAACUUGAGGCAUCCAAGAAACACGCAUGCAUGUGUGUCUAUGUGCUCAUGCAUAUGUGUGCUCACGCAUAUCAGAGUGAUGACUAAGUGGGAGGGGAGUGAGCAACGAUGGAUCCAAACCAAGACUGAAGCACAGAGAUGUGAGGAAAACAUUUUCGGAGAAAAAAAAUAUGGAUUCCCCUGAGCAGAGAGACAACACCAUCAAAAAGAGGUGGCAGACGCUAUUGUUUGUUAAGAAUAUGUCUUCUGUUAAGAAGAAAUUUUUAAACUGUUAUUUGGAAAAUCAAGGAAACAAAGCCCUUUGCAAAAAAGCAUUGCCUAAACACGGAGAAAGCUAAGAGGUGGAGUGAUACCAAAUCGCUGAGGACUAUAGAAAACAUAAAUAAUUUUACUUUGCUCUUGCAACUUCACAGUUGAGCAGAAUUUAAUGGCAUGAAACUAUAUUCCUUUAUCAUAGAACUAAAUCAUACAACUUGGUUCGAGAAUGAAUAUUGUUUCAUCAUUUUAAUAUUCUAAGGAUUAUUAUUAUUUUUAAAAGUUCUAUGAUC